rnacentral:rRNA from 1 species
AUUGAACGCUGGCGGCAGGCCUAACACAUGCAAGUCGAGCGAGCGGCGGACGGGUGAUUAAUGUCGGGGAAACUGCCUGAUGGAGGGGGAUAACUACUGGAAACGGUAGCUAAUACCGCAUACCAUCAGAUCUGCCCAGUUGGGAUUCGCUAGUAGGUGGGGUAACGGCUCACCAGGGCGACGAUCCCUAGCUGGUCUGAGAGGAUGACCAGCCACACGGGAACUGAGACACGGUCCAGACUCCUACGGUAGGCAGCAGUGGGGAAUAUUGCACAAUGGGCGAAAGCCUGAUGCAGCCAUGCCGCGUGUGUGAAGAAGGCCUUCGGGUUGUAAAGCACUUUCAGCGGGGAGGCGUUACCCGCAGAAGAAGCACCGGCUAACUCCGUGCCAGCAGCCGCGGUAAUAC